GAAAAAAAGGCCCUCUGGAAGAUAACGGCGGUUUGAAUUUUCUUUUUCCUUGAGAAACGCCCACUGAGGGUGCGGGGAAGUUGAGUCCGCUAAUGCGAAAGAUAUUCUGCGGGAUUUUAAAAAAGGAUCCCCCCUCCUCUUAGUUUUGGGGCGUGAGGAAUUUAAGACUCCCGAUUUAAGCCGUGGUUCCAGAUUCAUUCCUCCACAGGAGGGUUUUCCUUACUAAAUACUGUAUGCUUCUUUGAGGCAUGCAUGAGUCCUAGAUGCAGUCCUUUAAAAAUAAAUCCUGUUGAGCCUCCGAGGGGAUAAUCUUCUGCAAAGUAACUCCCGAGAUUUCUAUAUAGAACACAAAUGGAAAAAGGCAAUUAGGAGUAAAACCAGAUGAAUGGGAGUUUCCUGAGGUUAUGUGAGCACCUUUUGCAACCUUCUUUGCUGAUUCCCUAUAAGCAGUCAGCGAGACAGCUGGCAAGAACUCAUAAAUGACAUCUAUUAGCAAUGGAAAUUCUAGCCCCAAUUCUUACCCUUCCAAGGUUGAGAAACUGAGGAACCAGAUUGUUGGGAGCAAUAUGCUGACUCUGUAAACCACUUUUCACAGGGCUGAAAAACACUAAAUCUGAGUACUGUAUAUAAAUCUCAGUGCUGUGUUUGUUAGAAAGCAGAGAAUAGGUUCCUUCAGACAUACAUGUUUGUAGGUCUAAACUAUUAUUAGUUCAAUUUGUAUUCUAUCUUUUUACCUUAGAACCCAAACUCAGGAAACAUAACAAAACAACUAUGUUUAACUGCACUUAAUCAAAGUAACAACACAAACAUAAAACAGUACCUAUAGUAGCACAUUAAAAUUGUUCAAAAAGUAAAUUUAAAAUGUAUCUUGAUAUUCUUCUUGAGUGAAGGCUGAAUGGAGAGUUACAGUAACUCUAAAAGGAAUUCAUUUCCAUCCGGGAGAAAUUCUGCCAGAGACUUCAUCCUGUGUGCCCCCAAAAUAAGCAUCUGUAACAGAUCUGUGAUAAAUCUCUCUAUUUUUUGUCCCUCAGAUAGCCAAGCUUUAAACUACUGAAGAAUUUAAAAUCAAAAACAAUUUGCCAGUAUAAAGAUUUUUCAGCAAACAUGUUGACAAAAUACAUUUCCCUGUUAUUAUUCUGACAUUAAUGUUUGCUUUUGCAUAUGGAUUUUAACAAAAUCAAAUUAACUGAAUGCACACGUGCCAGUUUGGGGUGGUGGUUAAUGUGCUGGCCUAGAAGCAACAAGACGCUGGAGUUGUAGUCCCACUUUACGCAUGAAAAAGCAGCUGGAUGACUUUGGGCCAGUCACUCUCUCUCAGACCAGCCCUCCUCACAGGGUUGUUGUUACUGGAAAAAAGAGGAAGUGGAAGAACUAUUCUUAUGUAUGUACAUCAAUGUGAGUUCCUUAUAAAGUAAUAAAGAGAUAAAAAUCUAAUAAAACUAAAUAUUUUAAAA